GAACUUAAGAGUUUGAUCCUGGCUCAGGACGAACGCUGGCGGCAUGCCUAAUACAUGCAAGUCGAACGGAUCAGGUAGCAAUACUUGGUUAGUGGCGAACGGGUGAGUAAUGUAUGAGCAACCUGCCUUAUGCCUUGGGAUAACACUUAGAAAUGAGUGCUAAUACCGAAUAUGACCACGUCAUCGCAUGGUGACGGGGUAAAAGUGAUUUAGCGGCAUAAGAUGGGCUCAUAUCCCAUUAGCUUGUUGGUGAGAUAACAGCCCACCAAGGCGACGAUGGGUAGCCGACUUGAGAGAGUGAUCGGCCACACUGGAACUGAGACACGGUCCAGACUCCUACGGGAGGCAGCAGUAAGGAAUAUUGGUCAAUGGAGGAAACUCUGAACCAGCAAUGCCGCGUGAGUGAAGAAGGUCUUCGGAUUGUAAAGCUCUUUUAUCAGGAAAGAAUAAAUGACGGUACCUGAUGAAUAAGCCCCGGCUAACUACGUGCCAGCAGCCGCGGUAAUACGUAGGGGGCAAGCGUUGUCCGGAAUGACUGGGCGUAAAGGGAGUGUAGGCGGCACUUUAAGUUAUAUGUGAAAACCCCGGGCUUAACCCGGGACCUGCAUAUAAAACUGGAGAGCUGGAGUGCGGGAGAGGUAAGCGGAAUUCCUGGUGUAGCGGUGGAAUGCGUAGAUAUCAGGAGGAACACCGGUGGCGAAGGCGGCUUACUGGACCGUAACUGACGCUGAGGCUCGAAAGCGUGGGUAGCAAACAGGAUUAGAUACCCUGGUAGUCCACGCCCUAAACGAUGGAUACUAAACGAAGGGGGUAUUAACUCCCCCUGUGUUGAAGCAAACGCGAUAAGUAUCCCGCCUGGGGAGUACGGCCGCAAGGUUGAAACUCAAAGAAAUUGACGGGGACCCGCACAAGCAGCGGAGCAUGUGGUUUAAUUCGAAGCAACGCGAAGAACCUUACCAAGACUUGACAUCUGUACGAAUAUAUUGGAAACAGUAUAGCCUUUCGGGGCGUACGGACAGGUGGUGCAUGGUUGUCGUCAGCUCGUGUCGUGAGAUGUUCGGUUAAGUCCGGCAACGAGCGCAACCCUUGUGAUAUGUUGCCAAUAUUAAGUUAGGAACUCAUAUCAGACUGCCGUGGAUAACACGGAGGAAGGCGGGGAUGACGUCAAAUCAUCAUGCCCCUUACGUCUUGGGCUACACACGUGCUACAAUGGGCGCAACAAAGAGAAGC
rnacentral:rRNA from 1 species